GAGUGGGAGGAAGCUCGGUGAGCGAAGAUGGAGGGAGCGGAGGAUCAGCUGGCGCAUGAGCGGGGCACGGCGCAGUUCGACGUCGAGGCGAUGAAGGUCGUCUGGGCCGGCUCCCACCACACCCUUGAGGUUACCGAUCGGAUCGCCCGUCUCGUCGCCAGUGAUCCUGUAUUUCGCAAGGACAAUAGAACUAUGCUUGGGCGGAAGGAGCUAUUUAAAGACACACUGAGAAAAGCAGCCCAUGCAUGGAAGCGCAUAAAUGAGCUUCGUCUCAACGAAGAAGAGGCAUCACUGUUGAGGUUAUUCGUGGACCAGCCUGCCUAUGUGGAUCUGCAUUGGGGCAUGUUUGUUCCUGCAAUAAAAGGUCAAGGAACUGAUGAACAGCAGAAGAAAUGGCUACCUUUGGCAUAUAAGAUGGAAAUAAUUGGCUGCUAUGCCCAGACUGAACUUGGUCAUGGUUCGAAUGUUCAAGGCCUUGAAACAACUGCAACCUUUGAUCCCCAAAGUGAUGAAUUUGUCAUUCACAGUCCUACUCUAACCUCAAGCAAAUGGUGGCCUGGUGGCUUGGGUAAAGUUUCGACACAUGGUGUAGUUUAUGCUCGCCUGAUAACAGAUGGACAGGACUAUGGUGUAAAUGGUUUCAUAGUCCAGUUACGAAGCUUAGAUGACCAUUCUCCUCUUCCUGGUAUAACCAUUGGUGAUAUUGGAGCAAAAUUCGGAAAUGGUGGAUAUAACUCAAUGGAUAACGGUGUUCUACGUUUUGAUCAAGUCCGCAUUCCAAGAAAUCAAAUGCUGAUGCGGGUGUCUCAGGUUAGCAGGGAUGGAAAGUAUUCACAAUCUGAUGUUCCCAGGCAGCUAGUUUAUGGUACAAUGGUUUAUGUGCGUCAAGCCAUUGUUGCUGAUGCUUCUAAGGCUCUGUCUCGGGCGGUUUGUAUUGCUGUUAGGUAUAGCGCUGUCCGUAGACAAUUUGGUUCACAGGAUGGUGGUCCUGAGACUCAGGUCAUUGAUUACAAAACACAACAAAGUCGGCUUUUUCCACUUCUUGCUUCAGCCUAUGCUUUCAGAUUUGUUGGUGAGUGGUUGAAAUGGCUUUACUCAGAUGUGACUCAGAGACUACAAGCCAACGACUUCUCAACCUUACCCGAGGCUCAUGCCUGUACUGCCGGAUUGAAAUCUUUGACGACAUCUGUCACAGCUGAUGGUAUUGAAGAAUGUCGAAAACUAUGUGGAGGACAUGGUUAUCUUUGUAGCAGUGGCCUUCCUGAGUUAUUUGCCGUGUACGUUCCUUCUUGCACAUAUGAAGGAGAUAAUGUUGUUUUGCUUUUGCAGGUUGCAAGGUUUCUUAUGAAG
rnacentral:misc_RNA from 1 species